rnacentral:misc_RNA from 1 species
GAUGAAGAACGUAGCGAAAUGCGAUAAGUAGUGUGAAUUGCAGGCUUUAGUGAAUCAUCGAAUCUUUGAACGCACAUUGCGCCCGCCAGCAUUCUGGCGGGCAUGCCUGUUCGAGCGUCAUUUCAACCCUCGCAGCCCAUCUGGGCAGCGGUGUUGGGGACCGGCACCACCGGCGAAGCCCUUAGGGGCCCAGCCGGCGCCGCCCCCGAAAUACAGUGGCGGUCUCGCUGCAGCCUCCCUUGCGUAGUAGCACACCUCGCACCGGAGCGCAGCGCGGCCACGCCGUAAAACCCCCGACUUUCUGAGUUUGACCUCGAAUCAGGUAGGAAUACCCGCUGAACUUAAGCAUAUCAAUAAGCGGAGGA